rnacentral:rRNA from 1 species
UAAGAGUUUUGGAUCUGGCUCAGGAUGAACGCUGGCGGCGUGCCUAAUACAUGCAAGUCGAGCGAACAGACGGGGAGCUUGCUCCCCCGACGUUAGCAGCGGACGGGUGAGUAACACGUGGGUAACCUACCUAUAAGACUGGAAUAACUCCGGGAAACCGGGGCUAAUGCCGGAUAACAUGUUGGACCGCAUGGUCCUACAGUGAAAGACGGUCUUGCUGUCACUUAUAGAUGGACCCGCGCCGUAUUAGCUAGUUGGUAAGGUAACGGCUUACCAAGGCAACGAUACGUAGCCGACCUGAGAGGGUGAUCGGCCACACUGGAACUGAGACACGGUCCAGACUCCUACGGGAGGCAGCAGUAGGGAAUCUUCCGCAAUGGGCGAAAGCCUGACGGAGCAACGCCGCGUGAGUGAUGAAGGCCUUCGGGUCGUAAAACUCUGUUAUUAGGGAAGAACAAAUGUGUAAGUAACUAUGCACGUCAUGACGGUACCUAAUCAGAAAGCCACGGCUAACUACUCAGCGCACCCGU